rnacentral:rRNA from 1 species
CAGCAGCCACGGUAAUACGGAGGGUGCAAGCGUUAAUCGGAAUUACUGGGCGUAAAGCGCACGCAGGCGGUCUGUCAAGUCGGAUGUGAAAUCCCCGGGCUCAACCUGGGAACUGCAUUCGAAACUGGCAGGCUAGAGUCUUGUAGAGGGGGGUAGAAUUCCAGGUGUAGCGGUGAAAUGCGUAGAGAUCUGGAGGAAUACCGGUGGCGAAGGCGGCCCCCUGGACAAAGACUGACGCUCAGGUGCGAAAGCGUGGGGAGCAAACAGGAUUAGAUACCCCUGUAGUCCCUGUCUCUUAUAC